rnacentral:piRNA from 1 species
UNUCACCACCUAUGUGCCUCUCCUGUCUA